rnacentral:rRNA from 1 species
CCGGCUUACCAACCCGAUGCAAACUGCGAAUACCGGAGAAUGUUAUCACGGGAGACACACGGCGGGUGCUAACGUCCGUCGUGAAGAGGGAAACAACCCAGACCGCCAGCUAAGGUCCCAAAGUCAUGGUUAAGUGGGAAACGAUGUGGGAAGGCCCAGACAGCCAGGAUGUUGGCUUAGAAGCAGCCAUCAUUUAAAGAAAGCGUAAUAGCUCACUGGUCGAGUCGGCCUGCGCGGAAGAUGUAACGGGGCUAAACCAUGCACCGAAGCUGCGGCAGCGACACUGUGUGUUGUUGGGUAGGGGAGCGUUCUGUAAGCCUGUGAAGGUGUGUCGUGAGGCAUGCUGGAGGU